rnacentral:lncRNA from 1 species
ACGUUUUGGGAAUGAGGGAUGAGACAAGAUAAGAGAAAUGGUUCCUUUAGCAUUUGCAACAACCAUCAGGACCAUCAUUUCUAUUAUGCAAAAUCCGAUUACCCCAACCAAUGAUUUUUUUUCCGUUGGCAUUCACAAUUCCUCACCUUACAGAAUUUGAUUCUCCCAUUCAAUUUCAACUUCAUCUUCCAAUUAACAAAAAAGAAAAAAAAAACAGAGAAUACGAAAUAUUCAUCACCCUCCUAUCACGAAACCCAUAAACAAGACCACGCCUCAUCGCUCAAGACACGCACUACAUCUCUUUGCUUUGCCUUAUCCGUAAGGAUAUACGACUCUGAAUCAUCAACACAGAAUCCCAUUCUCUCCCCAACUUCCUUGAACCAUUUUACAGAAUCAUUUGCAUCUUCCAUUAACACAUCUCCAAGGACUCACUCAACAGAAUCACUCUUUCCAAAACCGUUUUCUCCGGCAUAGCAAAAGGGGAUUCUCCUACUGAUUCCUCCACCAUCCAUCAUCAAGCUCUUACAUGACAAUAGCCGAAUUUCACAUCACCAAAAAACCAAAACCAUCACUCUACACCUUAUUCCCAAACCAUAAACAAAGAAAAACAUGAAACAGAGGCACAAGAGAGGAACCAAUCAAGCACGGUUCAAUUUCCUCCAUUAGCUCUCACCGAAAAACACUUCUCUCAUCAUCAAUAUCAAAACCAUCGGACCUUCAUCCACUUCUACUAUCUCUUGCAACACCACCAAACAGACGGUCACGAACUGCGGCUCUACCUUUCCUACACCAAUUCUUCCCUCAAAUCUUUAUUAUCUAUCAUCGUUUCCACAAAACAAAAACAAAAACAGAGAAAACAAAAUUAACCUCCAUCUCCAUCACGCUUCCCAUUGCUAUCCGAAAUCAUUUCCCGACCACAUUCGUCUUAUGCCAAAGCCAUCUCCAAUCACCAACAAAAUUGGAUCAGCAAGCGAGAAACAUUAUACCUCUAGUCAUGGUGUCAUGGUCCCGUGAUGGUGGUCGAUAGUACCAGUAAGUAGCCGCAUCUCGUGGCGGUGGAUCUGUAAGAAGGGGAACUCACGUUACAGGAGAAAGAGGGGAAAUUGCUUGCGGCGUCACCGGCAGCGAGUUUGAUUGAAUCGGAGGUGUACGGG